rnacentral:rRNA from 1 species
UUGAAAAGAACUUUGAAGAGAGAGUUAAAGAGUACGUGAAACCGUUCAGGGGUAAACCCGAGAAACCCAAAAGUUCGAACGGGGAGAUUCACCGUCAGCGCCGCUGGCUUCGCGUCGGUCGGCGAUGCCGGCGCGGGUCCGCCGUGUCUCGCCACGGCUCCCGCGCUGGCACGCCGCCGCGCGCCGAUGUCCGGCGCGCGUCGUCGUGCACUUCUCCCCCAGUAGGACGUCGCGACCCGCUGGGUGCCGGUCUACGGCCCGGGACGGACGGCUGCAACGUCGCCGGUGAAACGGCACGCGGCAAGCCCCCGGUCGCCCGGCCGGCUGCCCGGCGGUACGGUGAACGGUACGAGGCCGCGCCCCGCCCCCGGGGCGCGUCGAGCCCGUCGCAAGCGAGCGCCACGGUAGCCGGAGGUUCGCGGACCCAGUGCCGCCCCCGGUCCUGGCCCGCUGUUGGCAGUACGGUGCACCCUCGACAGGCCUGCGAGGCGCGCGCGGUGUCCCGCUCGUCCCCACCGCGGGGCGCGAGGGCCCGCGCGCGGCGCGAUACCGGUCGGCGACGCUACCGCUUUGGGUACUCUCGGGACCCGUCUUGAAACACGGACCAAGGAGUCUAACAUGUACGCGAGUCAUUGGGACGAGCGAUACCCAGAGGCGCAAUGAAAGUGAAGGUCGGCCCUCGCCGGCCGACCGUGGGAGGAUGGGCCGCGUCGCGAUGCGGCCCCGCACUCCCGGGGCGUCUCGCCCUCACCGCGAGGAGAGGCGCACCCAGAGCGUACACGUUGGGACCCGAAAGAUGGUGAACUAUGCCUGGUCAGGACGAAGUCAGGGGAAACCCUGAUGGAGGUCCGUAGCGAUUCUGACGUGCAAAUCGAUCGUCGGAACUGGGUAUAGGGGCGAAAGACUAAUCGAACCAUCUAGUAGCUGGUUCCCUCCGAAGUUUCCCUCAGGAUAGCUGGCACUCGGCCGUUCCCCGGCGGAACGCGAACGAGUCUCAUCCGGUAAAGCGAAUGAUUAGAGGCCUUGGGGCCGAAACGACCUCAACCUAUUCUCAAACUUUAAAUGGGUGAGAUCUCUGGCUUUCUCGAACGGUGAAGCCACGAGAAUCUCGGAUCAGAGUGCCAAGUGGGCCAUUUUUGGUAAGCAGAACUGGCGCUGUGGGAUGAACCAAACGCAGAGUUAAGGCGCCCAACUCGACGCUCAUGGGACACCAUGAAAGGCGUUGGUUGCUUAAGACAGCAGGACGGUGGCCAUGGAAGUCGGAAUCCGCUAAGGAGUGUGUAACAACUCACCUGCCGAAGCAACUAGCCCUGAAAAUGGAUGGCGCUGAAGCGUCGAGCCUAUACUCUGCCGUCAGCGGCAAGUGGGGCGGCCGCCGCGCGCCGCGCGGGCGGUCGUCACGAGGCCCUGACGAGUAGGAGGGUCGCGGCGGUGCGCGCAGAAGGGUCU